rnacentral:rRNA from 1 species
AUACGGAGGGCGCAAGCGUUGUUCGGAAUGACUGGGCGUAAAGCGCGUGUAGGCGGUUGGACAAGUCGGGUGUGAAAUCCCCGAGCUCAACUCGGGAACUGCAUUCGAAACUGUUCAGCUAGAGUCCCGGAGAGGAAGGCGGAACUCCCAAUGUAGGGGUGAAAUCCGUAGAUAUUGGGAAGAACACCGGCGGCGAAGGCGGCCUUCUGGACGGUGACUGACGCUGAGACGCGAAAGCGUGGGGAGCAAACAGGAUUAGAUACCCCAGUAGUCC